rnacentral:rRNA from 1 species
UAUUCCUGUACUGCGGUAUGACAGAACUGUGGGGACACGUAGGGAAAGCGGAAGCCGGGAAUGGAAAGCCCGGUGCAAGCGGGGUACCAGCCACUUUGGCAAAUCCGGGUGGCAAUGGGAAGCCGUGAUGCGGAGCGAAAUAAAGUAGCGAAGUCCGUGAGCCAUGCGUCAAGAAAAGCCGCUAUUGUUUAUACCGUACCCGUACCGUAAACCGACACAGGUGGAUGAGGAGAGAAUCCUAAGGCCGGCGGAAGAAGCAUUGUCAAGGAACUCGGCAAAAUGGCCCCGUAACUUAGGGAUAAGGGGUGCCUCAGAAAUGAGGCCGCAGAGAAUAGGCUCAAGCAACUGUUUAGCAAAAACACAGGUCUAUGCGAAACCGAAAGGUGAGGUAUAUGGGCUGACGCCUGCCCGGUGCUGGAAGGUUAAGAGGAGAGGUUAGCGCAAGCGAAGCUUUGAAUUUAAGCCCCAGUAAACGGCGGCCGUAACUAUAACGGUCCUAAGGUAGCGAAAUUCCUUGUCGGGUAAGUUCCGACCCGCACGAAAGGCGUAAUGAUUUGAGCGCUGUCUCGACAAUGCAUCCGGUGAAAUUGAAGUACCAGUGAAGAUGCUGGUUACCUGCGCCAGGACGGAAAGACCCCAUGGAGCUUUACUCCAGUUUGGUACUGGGACUCGGUAUUGCAUGUACAGGAUAGGUGGGAGGCUAGGAGAUAGUAACGCCAGUUAUUAUGGAGCCGCUGUUGGGAUACCACCCUUGCAGUAUUGGGUUUCUAACCAGCCGCCGUGACCCGGCGGUGGGACAAUGCCAGACGGGGAGUUUGACUGGGGCGGUCGCCUCCGAAAGGGUAUCGGAGGCGCCCAAAGGUUCCCUCAGAAUGGACGGAAACCAUUCGAAGAGUGCAAAGGCAGAAGGGAGCUUGACUGCGACACCGACGGGUGGAGCAGGUACGAAAGUAGGGCUUAGUGAUCCGGUGGUAUUAAGUGGGAAUGCCAUCGCUCAACGGAUAAAAGCUACCCUGGGAUAACAGGCUUAUCACUCCCAAGAGUUCACAUCGACGGAGUGGUUUGGCACCUCGAUGUCGGCUCAUCGCAUCCUGGGGCUGUAGUAGGUCCCAAGGGUUGGGCUGUUCGCCCAUUAAAGCGGUACGCGAGCUGGGUUCAGAACGUCGUGAGACAGUUCGGUCCCUAUCCGGCGUGGGCGUAGGAUAUCUGAGAGGAGCUGUCCUUAGUACGAGAGGACCGGGAUGGACGGGCCGCUGGUGCAUCGGUUAGACUGCCAAGUCUACGGCCGAGUAGCCAAGCCCGGAAGGGAUAAACGCUGAAGGCAUCUAAGCGUGAAGCCCCCCUUAAGAUGAGAUAUCCCAUUCGAAAGAAGUAAACCCCCUUGAAGACGACGAGGUAGAUAGGGCAGAGGUGGAAGUGCAGUAAUGCAUGGAGCUGACUGUUACUAAUCGGGUGAGGGCUUGACCUU